rnacentral:lncRNA from 1 species
AUAUGAGCCAAGUCUUAGUCUGGGGAGGUCCCUGAAGCCCCUGACAAAAUGCAAUGUGGUCUUGAUAUGGCCUGCCUGGGAUAUCUACCCUCCUGAGUGGGUAUUUUUGUUUCUUGCUGUUACAGGACAAUGGCCUGGUUGAUUGAAUGGGGCCCAAGCUUGUGCAGUAGCCAUGGGAGUGAGAGGUGCAUGAGGAGGGAUGGGAAGUUUUCUGACUCUGUGUUGUAGAUGGACUCGGAAAGAGGCCGUGUGCUGACAGCUGGAGAUCCUGACAGAGGUCUGCUACAGUUCUGUGGUGUCCAUGUCUCUCCAGGCCUAUUACCCUAGGUAAGAAGUCACUCAGGAUCCUACCACAAUGGGAGACAUUUCUUUUUAAAAGAGGAACUUUGAAAUAGGUUGUGUCGCUGAGCAGUGGUGGUGCACGCCUUUAAUCCCAGCACUUGGGAGGCAGAGGCAGGUGGAUUUCUGAGUUCAAGGCCAGCCUGGUCUACAGAGUGAGUUCCAGGGCAGCCAGGGCUACACAGAGAAACCGUCUCGAAAAACCAAAAAAAAAAAAAGAAGGAAGGAAGGAAAGAAAGAAAGAGAGAGAGAGAGAGAGAGAGAGAGAGAGAGAGAGAGAGAGAGAGAAAGAGAAAGGAAGGAAGGAAGGAAGGAAGGAAGGAAGGAAAAGAAAGAGAGAGAGAGAAAAAGAGAUAGAUUGUGUACAGAAACUGAAAUGACAGCUGGUGAUUCCCUGAAGCAGGAUGCAGGAUACAGGAUGCUGGAUGAAGGAUGCAGGAUGCAGGAUGCAGGGUUGCCGGGGAUGUAGAAGGGGCAGGGAAAAGGGCAUCAUUCUGCCUUGUGAUCCCUAUAGAAUCAGUGGGAUGGGUGACACAGGACUGUAGCUGGCUACUUUGAGAAGUGUUGGUGGGCUCUGGAUUGCUGGGGUGGUCCUUGGCUGACCAGUAAUGGCCAGGCAACUUAGAAAGAGGUCUAGGUCCCACUGCAGGUACGGAGGUGCACAGUCUCAGAGUUGGAAGGCCAUGCCAUCUUUGGGGUGACAGAGUUGCAGGGGCCAUGAGACCAGUCUGACAUUGGGGGACAUCUUCAUGGGGAGGACAAACAUGAGCCCCUGGACACAGGGAUCCCCUCCCCCCUGUGCUCCUCAACAACGCCUGGAUGUACAGGUCGCAAGCUCUGGUCACUUUAUUACCUUACCACAUCGAGCUCUCAGCCUUUGGGUCCUCUUGAGGUGAUGUGGAAGCCUGAGGUCAGGAGCAGGAUACUGCUGCGAUGGUGGCCCAGCUGGACAGUGAAUUCUGAUCCUCAUAGAGCCAGACAAUCUUGGCUUGUAAUUCAAUGUCAUUGCAAUGACCCAGUUCCAGCUGGGCAAAGCCUAUCCCUCCCUCAACCUCUGCUCCCAGAGGAUAGAUCCUCAGGGCAGCAGGAGACCCUUGGGGAAGAAACCUAAUGCAUUCCUGUCCCUGUGGACACAGUAACACACACAAUGCAGAUGCUCCUUCGCCAAACCUACCUCCCAUCAUGUAUCACCUCUUGCCUGACUACUGGGGAGAGUUCCCUAAACUUGUUGGUGAGUCAGCUCUCAGAAUUUCUUGUCCCUUAUCCUGGGGCCUAACACACACACACACACACACACACACACACACACACACACACACACACACUUCCAUUGGUCCCUCCCUUCCUGGUUUUCUUCCUGGGCCUGUCUGCAUGUUUGUAUAGUGAUUCAGCUGUGUGUUAUGUCCUCUAGGUGCUGUGGGAGACCUGCCCCACCCUUGGGAGUCCAAAUUGCUUCUUUCUUUCCUUCUUUCCUUCUUUCCUUCUUUCCUUCUUUCCUUCUUUCCUUCUUUCCUUCUUUCCUUCUUUCCUUCUUUCCUUCUUUCCUUCCUUCCUUCCUUCCUUCCUUCCUCUCUUCUUCUUCUUCUUCCUCUUUUUCUUUCCUUCUCCUUUUUCUUCCCCUCUCUCUAUCUCUGUCUCUCUUCCUCUCUCUCCCCCAACUCUCUGUUUCUUUGUCUCUGUCUCUGUCUCUGUCUCUCUCUGUCUCUCUCUGUCUCUCUCUGUCUGUCUCUGUCUCUCUCUCUCUCUCUCUCUCUCUCUCUCGUGCCCAGGUUCUUGUGCAUGUGUCUAUGUGAGACCUUGAGUGCCAUUCCUCAGGUUCUGUCUACCUUGUUUUGGAGACAGGGCCUCUCACUGACCUGGAGUUGGUGAGCCACAAGGAUCCGCCUGCCCCACUUCCCCAGUACUGGCAUUAGAAAGGCACCAUCUUGACUGCUCAGCUGGACCAUGGGGUUGAACUCACCUGCACACAUUCCCAGGCAAGACUUUAUUCUGACCUUUUAAAUACCAGGGGUAUGUUACUAAACGUGGGAAUCAUAACCUGUGCCCCAAGUCAGGUCUGGCCACCCUUCCUCAAUAAACACACUAAAAGAGUUGAAUUGAACAUAGAAAGCAUAAAGGGGAGAUUUAUUUAAUGUGCUCACAUUGGGAAGAGGGAUAAAGAGAUUCAGUGAACACCUGAAUCUCUCUUUGUGUUUCUGAAAUGAGGUUAAAGCUUAAAUGGAAGCCCAAAGAUUGUAAGCAGUCCCAGUGACAUUGUCCUUCCCCGACUGACAUCCCUCCAAUUUACCCAUCCUUGCCUGGAUGUACAUCUCAUGCUGUAAGGAGGUCUGACAAGUUGUCUGACAGGUGUGAUCCCUCUAUAAGGGAGAUGGUCCUCCCCCCACACAGCCUGUGCCCUUGUCCUCUCCCACUGUGUGAUUCCUGGGGGAAUGCCCAUUUCCUUGAAGUCCAUUGUUUUGAUAGUCGUCAGACUAUUACUCAGGCUGAGGGACAUGGGUGCCUCUUUAGAGCAUCUUCAUUUCUGCCAGGCCAGUUUUAAUGGCUUUGUAAGUCCUGUCACCUUAGCUGACAAAUGUGCCUCAUAGGACAAAUUAGGCCUAAUGUUGCAUAGAAGAGGAGCUGAACAAGAAGGUGUCUCCUGGAUGACUCUUGAUUCGAGGCUGAUGCCAGUGGGGAAAAGCUCACCUCCCUUAAGUGUGGACCAGUCAAGACCAAGAGCUGCUGGGUGGAGGUGAACGAAGAACAGACCUAGGACCUUGGCCAUGACCUGGACCCUUGGUGCCCUUCCUGGCCCCUCGCUCCAGAGGGACUCAGGGCUAGGUAGCACCUGAUGCAGAUCUCCUGGGCAGAGAUUGUGACCAUGUAGCUCCCCUUUCAAGGACUUUGAGAGUCCUAGGAACAGCUUCCUGCGCUCAUGCUGUGUUCUUGACUUAUUUUCCUGAAGUAGGGGCAAGACCAUGUGUACAGCCCACUGAAUUAGAUAUAGACUGGUUUAGUGAGGGGAUCAAGACACGUCUACACCAUUCCUGUCUCUUCGGUGCAUGAUGGAUAGGAUACUUGUUCUUGAACACAGGCAUUAUGAGUAUUCAGGGUGUGCAAUGUGCCGAACUGCAGCCACAACUGCCUCCACCCCAACCCGAAGCUUCAACAAAAGAGCCCAGUACCAACAAAAAACACUCAGGUUCAUAUAACAGGACUCCAUUUUUGUUUCUGAUGCUCUGAGGGCCAACGUACUGUGACCUUGAAAUGCAUUGCUGGGUCUGAGUACUUUUGCAGGUCUCUAGCCCCCUUGGCAAGGAGAAGUGAACAGCAGCACCUUCCUACUGGUCCUUGGUGCUUUCGUGGGUGCUCUGCAUCUGUAGUCACCAGGGCUUGGGGGAGGGAACAGGAAGAACUCACAAACUAGGCUAAGAAGGGAUGAGAGCCUUGUAUUUGGUUAGAGCAUAAGAAAGUGGUUAGCAUUAGCACUCAGAAGGAGUCCUCAGCCUCCAUCACUACUGAGUUCCCAGCCUCUCUUCCUUGACUAAAAGGAACAGUUGUCCUGCCUCAAGGUCUAUCCCAGCACUGAUUGUCCUUCUUAUUGUUCAUCCCCAGCUCUGACCCUUCCUACACUGUUGGCAUCUUGCUUCAGCAACCCUUGGGAUAUGAUGUAGGGAGCAGCCCCUAACCCCUCACUGGCUCUGCAUGCGUGAAGCAGGACACCAGGAGCUUACCUCAUGGUCCUCACUUACACCAUGAUGAAGGGAACGGGAUCACAUUGAAGGGGGAGCUGUCUUAGUGAGACAUUUGAACAACGUGGCCAGUCAUUAGGCAUUCCAAAAGCCUGGUAAAGGGCAGGCUGCCUCUCCACAGGGCACUGGGGUGAGUGUCAAGUAGACCUUGGAGUUUCAUGAAAUAGCAGGGAAAGAGACUUUAAAGUGAUCAACAGUCACUGCUAUCAUGGCCAUCUCCCUAAUCUCUGUAAGUCCUGAAGGUAAAUUUUAAGGACCACACAGGUCUGCUAUCCACAUGAGGCAUGGAUACUUACAUAGCAAACCUCAGUUAGAAGUAAAUGAUAGCAACAAGUCAGAGCUGGCCCCGGGACAGCAAAGGCCUGAGUGCAUCUCUGUUCUGGGCCCUCAGCCUCCACUGCACAUAUAGACCAAUGUCCACAACCACAAGAUCCUAUCCCUCUAGUGUGUCCAGAACUGAGGCCUGGGAUGCUUGGACACUGGACUGGACGUGUCACAGGUAAAGCAGCAUCCUAUGUCACCCCAGGGAUAGGAGCUGAAUUUAUUUUGGACAGAUAGACCACAGAAGAAGUCCUCAUGGUUGCAUCCAUACCUGCUUAGCAGUGUACCUCAGCAGUGUGCUUUCCCACCACUGUAGCUGUGAGCAUCAUGAAAGAGGUCAACUGAACACGAGAUGCGGCUCAUUACACCAUGGACUUGCAUUGGUGAUACUGAAGCAUUCUGUGACUUGAGGUACCACUAAGAAGAACAAAAGCCUGAUGGUAGACUCUAGGAUGCCAUGGUCACCAAAGCAUGUUUUGACCUCAGCUCUGCUGCCAUGGGAACUGAUGUGGCCAUCACCAGGGGAGCGAACGCCUACAGCGCAUAGUCAUCUGAGGGGCUGUGAAGAAGACCAGCCAAUCUGCUUCAUGUGACUCCUAAAGCCAGGAACAGGAUUAGUGGUGUGGGUUUUGGGGCCACAGCAGCUCAAGGGAGCAAACUCUAUAGGAUCCAUUACGGUGGGCUUAUAAAUGAGCCCCAGAAUGCUGACAUUAGGCUCAGUACGGUCCAAAGAAUUACCCCUUCUUCAUCUAUAGAGAUGACCUACACUAAGGCAGGCAGGUAGAGCAGCUGCCUGCAAAGUCCUACUCAGCUUCAAGUCCCCCAGCUGAGAACUGAAAAGGGAGCUGCCCUGGGCAUCCUUUGUCCUGUUCCUGCCUGGUAAUUGACAUAGUGAAUGGUCGCUAAUGAAGAACGGAGUGGGACUUCCUGGGAAGUGACUGCAGACAGCCAGAAAGACAACUGCUAAUUACCAGUGCCAGCUGGUGGCCCUGGAGGACCAUGCAGACAGAAAAGAUGAGGGCUGGGAGGACCAGGCAGAGAGAAACUUCAGGAAAGCUGCUUUUGCUAGGGCCCUCUGCACCCAAGCACUGACUUACUCCAUGGAUGACGAAUCAAGAGGUCAAGACCAACACCAGCCAUGCUCUCUUUCCUGGUCAAGCCCGAGGAGGAGGUAUUAAACCACCAUCAUAAAUCUGCUAGUGUCCUCCAACUGACCUUGGCUGUUAGACUGGGCAGGCUUUCUUCAGUCUCAGACCCCAGCACUGAUUGCCCUUUCUGUUGCUCAUCCCCAGCUCUGACCCUGCCUGCACUGUUGGCAUUUUGAUUCAGCAACCCCUGGGAUAUGAUGUAGGGAGCAGCCCCUAACCCCUCACUGGCUCUGCGUGCGUGAAGCAGGACACCAGGAGCUUACCCCAUGGUCCUCACUUACACCAUGAUGAAGGGAACGGGAUCACGUUGAAGGGGGAGCUGUCUUAGUGAGACAUGUGAACAACGUGGCCAGUCGUUAGGCAUUCCAAAAGCCUGGUAAAGGGCAGACUGCCUCUCUGCGGGGCACUGGAGUGAAUGUCUGGUAGCUGCCUUCUUGGGUGUUUCUGCCUCAUAACUCAUCCUCCUGUAGUCUGGCGCGGUCUCUCCCCACACUGAGCAGGUCUCAGUUUCUCACACACCUGGUGCCCCGAGCGUCACACCUGUUCUUCCUCAGAUCUGUCUCCUCAUGAAUCCCUCCUCUCCCUCACCUCUGGGUCACACUGUGGGGUGUGGUCCUUCAGGGUCAAGGCCCCUGAUGGAUUGGGAUUCUGACCAGACAUACCUCUCCUAGCUACACUUGUUGUGAGCGACCCAGGACCUCCUUUCUUUCUUCCGUCUUUCCCCUCCUUCAUCUGGGCCCUGCCACUCACAGGGGUGAGCUGCUGGAGGGCAGGGAAGACUUCCGUUGUCAGAGUGGCUUGCCUGAAUCCCAGCUGCCCCUUAAUCUUAAAGAUGCUGAAAUCCUCGGCUGAAAUGGUAGCAGGAGAGCUCUGAGACUAACUCCCUUUCGCCUAUAUUGUGUGCUGGGACCAUACAAACUGACAGGUAGUAGAGCUUUGGUGGUUGGCAGUACUGGAGGCAAACAACCUACAACCCAGGGGUGGGCAGCUGGCUCUGCCUGCUGGUACUCCCUGCCCCCUUGGUAGUCUCUGCCCUGUUCCCACACAGACUUCUUGCAUGUAUCUCUCUCCAUCCUUCUUCUUUAUAGGAGAACACUAGCCAUGUGUUAAGGACUCCUUAACCCCGUGUGGCCCCACCUUAGCUAAUCUCACAGACUCUCUGUCAUACACGUUCUGGAUGUGUCUGGUGAAGGAUGCAUGCAGCCCAGCGUCCACCAUGAUGGCCUCUUAGAAUCUCAAGGUGAAGGCAUGGAACCUUCUUAUGGAAGAGAUGGGAAAUGGCUGUUCCUCCUUUUCCUUUAGAUCUUGCCCUGUGACCUGAGCCGCUUUCUCCCUGAUCCCCAUGGCUAGAUAGAUGCUGUCCUCACAGCAGAAGCCUGCUCUGCCCACCAGAGUCUAAGCAUCUGAGACACUGGAUCCUCUCCUUACCUGCAGAGAGGAGAAUGGAGCAGAAUCAAGACCCCUGAAGCCAGCACAUUCUGUGUGGCAGCUAGCCUUCCCCCCAUAAGCACGAGCAGGGCUCUGAUCCCAGAGAGACAUCACCCAUGUGCAUGUCUGCACACAUGCACACACGGUGCUCCGUGUAGCCCCGCGCUGAGUCUUCCUGCUUCGCCUCUGAGGCAGCUGAAGACUGAGGAAAGGAAAUGAGAUGGGGAAUCGCUUCUCGGGCAAUUACCCACACCUCGUAUAGUCUAAUGAGCCGUUGAGGGGCCCGGAUGGAACAUUUAGGGGGGUUAUUGAAUGUUUCCUCACAGUUUACCCAGUUCCAGGAGUUAAUUGAUUUAUGGACUGCAGGAGCAUGCGUGUCUCCGAAUAUGAGUGGGUGCCUUUUGGAUCUCUCUCUCUCUCUCUCUCUCUCUCUCUCCCUCCCCCCCCCCUCUCUCUCUCUCUCUCUCUCUCUGUGUGUGUGUGUGUGUGUGUGUGUGUGUGUGUGUGUGUGUGUGAAUUCGGGGCAUUCUGGCUAGAGGCCUGAGCUCCCUAGCUUUGGCAUCAGGCCUCCACAGCAUCUGCCUGCAUUUGCUGAGGAGAGGCCACGGAGGACGUGGCUGCACACCAAGGCAUGGGUCUGCAACCAUGCAUGCUCUCGGGACCAGGAUUCCCCUUACUGUUCCCAAAAUCCAGUUCAUCUUACCCACUCAGAUUUGUGCUAUACCUAGCACGAUAUUUUUAACUAACCUUACAUUUUUUUCUUUCAUUAGUUGUUUUAAAGCUACUACAAAAUGCUAUUGUGAAAUUGUUAUGUUUGAUAUGAUUGCUGCUCUCUUUUUCCCUUUCUUUCUGUUGAAAACAUUAUAUUUAAGUGCGUGUGGGGGGGGGGGAAGAGAGCUAGAGAGAGAGAGCUAGAGAGAGAGAGAGAGGGAGAGGGAGAGAGAGAUCAGAGACAACUUGGGAGAGUUGCUUUUCUCCUUCCACCAUGUAGGUUCCAAGGAUGGAAGUCAGCGCUUCAGUCUUGUAGCAAGUGCUCUUAGCAGCUGAGCUCUCUUAUCACCCUGCGUUCUUUUCCUGUUUGUUUUGAGACAGGAUCUCUCUUUGUUGCCCAGGCUGUCCUUCCUUUGUUGCCCAAUGGCUUCCUCUACAUUUUCCUAAUAAACAUUAAAAUA